GUUGUUUAGUUGAAAAUCAAUUAAAUAAUUUUUGAUUUUAAGUAGUAUUGACUUCAUCAGCUUGCUGCUUUCUUUUCUGAAAUUAUUUAAUGCACUUUUCAGUUAACAAGUCAACAUCAAUUUCUUUUGUUGUAAAAGGGUAAGAGGAAGGUGGCUUGCGCUUCGGCUCAAGUGUUUAUAGCCUUUUGCCUCUGCAAUCGGAGAGAUUGAGGUCUGCAGCGUAGAUCCUUCGGGGUUAGAUACAUUUGUGCUAAGCUAUAGCCUUGUAUAGACAACUUGUUGACUAUGCUCAGUCAUGUAGCUUACUCGCUUAUGCUAUUUUACCUAC
rnacentral:rRNA from 1 species